AACGUAGGGGGCGAGCGUUGUCCGGAAUUACUGGGCGUAAAGGGCGCGUAGGCGGUGAGGUAAGUCUCAAGGUGAAAACUAUCGGCUCAACCGGAAGCGUGCCUGAGAAACUGCCUGACUUGAGUGCAGGAGAGGGGAGUGGAAUUCCCAGUGUAGCGGUGAAAUGCGUAGAUAUUGGGAGGAACACCAGUGGCGAAGGCGGCUCUCUGGCCUGUAACUGACGCUGAGGCGCGAAAGCGUGGGUAGCGAACGGGAUUAGAUAC
rnacentral:rRNA from 1 species